rnacentral:snRNA from 1 species
AUAAAUACAGGGAGAUACCACGGUCACACAGGUGGUUUUCCCAGGGUAAUGCUCAUCCAUUGCGCUCCACUUGUGCUGACCACCCCCCCCCCCACAAAAGCAGGCAACUCAAGGGCAUUAAUUCAUGUAGUGGGAAACAGUGUUUGUGCUUUCCCCU